GACUCGAUACUUUAAGAUAAAAGAUUUGAUUUGCAUUUAAAAAAUAAGCUAAAUAGCUUUCGGGUCA
rnacentral:tRNA from 1 species